AGCCUACAGAAAGCGAAGUCCGUGGCUCCAAAGAUGAUGGUAAUAAGAGUUGUGUUGGCUCGUGUGAUAGACCCCCUUUGCCUCAAGACUUUUCUGGUAGAGAUGAUAACAUCUUUCCAUUUCCACCUCCACUAGAAUUCAAGGCAGGUUCUGAAGUAGAAAUGUCUGAAAUCCAGAAGAACUUUCAACAUUUAUACGAUUACAAUAUGAUGUUGAGGGAAAAUUUUUUGGCUCUUCAAUCCUUUCUUCAUACAUUGCCAAUGAAAUCAUCCAAAGAGGCAGAAAGCUCUCCAUAAGGUUGGCAAAUUAUACCUGUUGUCUUUUUCCACAAUAUAAAAGGCUUCAGCUGGAAUUGCUGAAGACUGCAAAGGACCUGCGGUGAACAUUUGUCAAAAGUGCAAGCAGCAAUGUUGUGAUAAUAUAUAUGGAAUGAAUUUAAAGCUCUCCAAAGUUUUAGCUACACUUCUCACAGUAACGCUAGGAGAAGAUGAAGGAUGAGCGGGAGGCAUAAUCAAUCAGCUUCCUACAGAAAAGUUUUUGCUUGACAAAGUUUGUGGUCGCAGCUUUUUGUUUGGGAUUAAACACUAUCCUGUGUAGUUUGGACACUUCAUCUGGUUUAAUGACGAUAUUCUUUGUUGUAUAAUAUUAACAUAAAUCUAGUUGGGUAGUAUAUUAAAUUAUUCGAGUAAAUUCAGAAUUUAUCAGGUUUGUAGACUACGCAAGGAGGAAUUUGUAUGAAGCAAUAUUGAACUUUGUAUUGUACUGUAUCUUAAAUGCAUAUCAUGUGUAUGAAGCAAUUUGUUGACUUAUUGAAA